rnacentral:rRNA from 1 species
AAAGAAACUAACAAGGAUUCCCCUAGUAACUGCGAGUGAAGCGGGAAAAGCUCAAAUUUAAAAUCUGGCGGUCUUUGGCUGUCCGAGUUGUAAUCUAGAGAAGUGUUAUCCGCGCUGGACCGUGUACAAGUCUCCUGGAAUGGAGCGUCAUAGAGGGUGAGAAUCCCGUCUUUGACACGGACUGCCAGGGCUUUGUGAUGCGCUCUCAAAGAGUCGAGUUGUUUGGGAAUGCAGCUCAAAAUGGGUGGUAAAUUCCAUCUAAAGCUAAAUAUUGGCGAGAGACCGAUAGCGAACAAGUACCGUGAGGGAAAGAUGAAAAGAACUUUGGAAAGAGAGUUAAACAGUACGUGAAAUUGCUGAAAGGGAAACGCUUGAAGUCAGUCGCGUUGUCUGGGGAUCAACCUUGCUUUUGCUGGGCGUACUUUCCAGAUGAUGGGUCAGCAUCAAUUUUGACCGUUGGAUAAAGUCUGGAGGAAUGUGGCAUCUUCGGAUGUGUUAUAGCCUCUAGUUGCAUACAACGGUUGGGAUUGAGGAACUCAGCACGCCGCAAGGCCGGGUACUUGUACCACGUUCGUGCUUAGGAUGCUGGCAUAAUGGCUUUAAUCGACCCGUCUUGAAACACGGACCAAGGAGUCUAACAUGCCUGCGAGUAUUUGGGUGGAAAACCCGAGUGCGUAAUGAAAGUGAAAGUUGAGAUCCUUGUCAUGGGGAGCAUCGACGCCCGGACCAGACCUUUUGUGACGGAUCUGCGGUAGAGCAUGUAUGUUGGGACCCGAAAGAUGGUGAACUAUGCCUGAAUAGGGUGAAGCCAGAGGAAACUCUGGUGGAGGCUCGUAGCGAUUCUGACGUGCAAAUCGAUCGUCAAAUUUGGGUAUAGGGGCGAAAGACUAAUCGA